rnacentral:rRNA from 1 species
UACGUAGGGGGCAAGCGUUGUCCGGAAUUAUUGGGCGUAAAGAGCUCGUAGGCGGUUUGUCGCGUCUGCUGUGAAAACUCGAGGCUCAACCUCGGGCUUGCAGUGGGUACGGGCAGACUAGAGUGCGGUAGGGGUGACUGGAAUUCCUGGUGUAGCGGUGGAAUGCGCAGAUAUCAGGAGGAACACCGAUGGCGAAGGCAGGUCACUGGGCCGCAACUGACGCUGAGGAGCGAAAGCGUGGGGAGCAAACAGG